rnacentral:tRNA from 4 species
ACGCCCGUAGCUCAGUGGAUAGAGCAACGGCCUCCGGAGCCGUGUGCGGUGGUUCGAUUCCACUCGGGCGUACCA